CAGUAGCCGCGGGAAUACGAAGGGGGCUAGCGUUGUUCGGAUUCAUUGGGCGUAAAGGGUGUGUAGGAGGUCGGGUAAGUCAGGUGUGAAAUCUCACAGCUUAACUGUGAAACUGCGCUUGAUACUGCUCGGCUAGAGGAUCGGAGGGGGUAACGGAAUUUAUGGUGUAGCAGUGAAAUGCGUAGAUAUCAUAAGGAACACCGGUGGCGAAGGCGGUUACCUGGAAGAUUCCUGACUCUGAAACACGAAAGCCAGGGGAGCAAACGGGAUUAGAUACCCCGGUAGUCCCUGUCUCUUAUAC
rnacentral:rRNA from 1 species